CCUACGGGAGGCAGCAGUCGAGAAUCAUUCACAAUGGGGGAAACCCUGAUGGGGCGACGCCGCGUGGGGGAAUGAAGGUCUGCGGAUUGUAAACCCCUGUCAUGUGGGAGCAAAUUAAAAAGAUAGUACCACAAGAGGAAGAGACGGCUAACUCUGUGCCAGCAGCCGCGGUAAGACAGAGGUCUCAAGCGUUGUUCGGAAUCACUGGGCGUAAAGCGUGCGUAGGCUGUUUCGUAAGUCGUGUGUGAAAGGCGCGGGCUCAACCCGCGGACGGCACAUGAUACUGCGAGACUAGAGUAAUGGAGGGGGAACCGGAAUUCUCGGUGUAGCAGUGAAAUGCGUAGAGAUCGAGAGGAACACUCGUGGCGAAGGCGGGUUCCUGGACAUUAACUGACGCUGAGGCACGAAGGCCAGGGGAGCGAAAGGGAUUAGAUACCCUUGUAGUC
rnacentral:rRNA from 1 species